UACAGAGGGUGCAAGCGUUAAUCGGAAUUACUGGGCGUAAAGCGUGCGUAGUCGGUUAUUUAAGUCGGGCGUGAAAGCCCCGGGCUCAACCUGGGAAUUGCGUUCGAUACUGGAUAGCUAGAGUUCGGCAGAGGGAAGCGGAAUUUCGGGUGUAGCGGUGAAAUGCGUAGAUAUCCGAAGGAACAUCAGUGGCGAAAGCGGCUUCCUGGACCAGAACUGACGAUCAGGCACGAAAGCGUGGGGAGCAAACAGGG
rnacentral:rRNA from 1 species